UUUUAGAGAUAUUUUGCCCUGGGAUUUCCUCUCACCGGACUUACACAGCUGUAUAAUGCAACUGAGAAGGUUUCCUCUACCAGGCUGGCUUUACCCACUGGCACCUAAGGGUGUAUGAGUUUUCAAUCUGAGGCCCAAUAGACCAUGAAGAUGUUUCCACUUGGAGACCUAGAGAGGCUUAAAAAAUAAAGAACUGGCCCAUUUCUGCUUUCAGGCCUGUCACAUUUCCCUCCUGAGAAGAAGAAAAAAAAGUAUGCAUAAGAAAAGAGGCAGUCAGCAGAUGGAAACGUGGCUAGCUCCCCCAGUCACAGGUGGGCAGUGGAGGGGGUGGUAAAGAUGCCGCAGGAGGGAGUCUGUGGUGCUGUCAGGAAGCAAGAUCUCUGCUGAGAGUGAAGAUGAAGAGAGAGCUUCUGGGUGGAGGUUUGAAGAGAAAGUCCUGUUGUCAGGCAGCUGCAUCUGGGGAGGUCUCUCCCUGCUCACCAGGAAGUUUGCAGAACAAAAUGUCAUUCCAUCCAGUGUUCUGCAGCUCUCCAAAAUCCUGGAGUGGUAGGGACUCAGUUCCCAUGCUGUGCAGAUCCAAGCAGACACUGGAUGCCAGGCAGAAGAACCUCGAGGGGCAGAGAAAAUUUCUUCCUCCCCAACAAAGGCAUGAGGAGGCUGAAGGCUCGGUAUCCACAUGACUGCCUCCCUCCCCUCCUUCAGGUCUUUGCUAAAAUGUCACCUUCUCAGUGAGGCUUCCCUGCAUACCCCUUUGAGCAUAGCAAAUACCCUCAUGCCCUCAUUCUCCUUCCUCAUUUUUUCUUCAUACCAUCUGAUACUAUGUAUGUUUUACUUAUCUUAUGCAUUAUCUACCUUUCACAAGAAUGUAACACUCAGGAGGGAGGGGAUUUUGUUGUAUCUUCUUCACCACCUUAUCCCAGAUCCACACUGUUGGCUCAAAAACAUCUGCUGAAUGAAUAAAUGACCCCAGGAUCCUUGGAUUAAAUUAUACACACUUCUGGCCUCAGAAGGAACCUAGAUUCUAAUGUGGAGACAAAAUGAACAAGCAACUAGGUAUUUUCAUAUGGCAAUAAGGGCAAAGAGCAAGAGCAACAGGGAUCCAUGAUAACUGUGUAUGGUACUAACUAGACUGGGUGGUCAGGAGGUGACAUUGGAGCCAAGGUCUCAGAUGAGCAAGGAUCUGGCGGGAGAGAACAGCAAGGGCUAAGUCAGGAAUGAGCUUUGGGCAUUUGAUGAACAGAAGGAAAGCCAGUGUUUAAUGCUGUGUUGUGAAUAGGUGGAAAGGGUUACGCAUGGAUUUAGACGGGCCUUCCAGGGUCAGGAUACACCUUGGGGAUGUUAAGGAGGGGAGAGACUUUAAUUUAUGAUAAAUUUCAACUGGUCUUUUCCCUCUUUGGGUCUUAUUAAAAGGAAACACAUAGCCCCAACAUGGUGUCACUUUUGCUAGGCCAAGUCGCCAAACCAGGGCCUAAUAACUAAACCUAAUUUCAACCUCCCCCAGAAAGGCAGUCAGUCAGUCCGGAUUUUUCUGGUCAGCACCGUGGAUAAAAUAAUCCAUCAACUAUACCAUCUCCAUCUCCCCUAAGAGCGUGUAGUCUGCAUUAUAAAACCCCUUGAUCAGCUGCCUCUGAGAAAGCAACCUUGCCUUAAACAAUCCUUUUCUUUUGCUAAUAACUCCCCACCACCACCAUACACACUUCCAUCUCUAAAAACCUAUUUAGCGCAAUUCCUCAGAUCCUCUCUACUUGCUACAGGGGAUGGUGCCCAAUAAAUGAAUCGCUUAAUAAAGA